rnacentral:rRNA from 1 species
CGGCGAGUGAAGCGGCAACAGCUCAAAUUUGAAAUCUGGCCCCGGGCCCGAGUUGUAAUUUGCAGAGGAAGCUUCGGGGUGGCCCCCGGUCCAAGUCCCUUGGAACAGGGCGUCGUAGAGGGUGAGGAUCCCGUACACGGCCGGACGUCCGCCCCGUGCGAAGCUCCUUCGACGAGUCGAGUUGUUUGGGAAUGCAGCUCCAAACGGGAGGUAUAUUCCUCCCAAGGCUAAAUAUUGGCCGGAGACCGAUAGCGCACAAGUAGAGUGAUCGAAAGAUGAAAAGCACUUUGGAAAGAGAGUUAAACAGUACGUGAAAUUGUUGAAAGGGAAGCGUCUGCGGCCAGACCUGGCGACGGCGGCUCAGCCGGCCCCUCGGGACCGGCGCACUCCGCCGUCGCCUGGCCAGCAUCGGUUCGGGCGGCUGGACAAAGGCCCGGGGAACGUGGCCUCCUUCGGGAGGUGUUAUAGCCCCGGGCACAAUGCAGCCCGCCCGGACCGAGGACAGCGUUCGCUAGGAUGCUGGCGUAAUGGCCGCCGACGGCCCGUCUUGAACCACGGACCA